UGGAGCUCUGAGUUCGAGGCCAGCCUGGUCUACAUGGCCUUGGUCUCUUAUGUGUCAGAUGAGGAGACAGGGGACCUGGUGGAGCUGUGAGGACUGCCUGGCAGACUCGGGGAGGAAGUCACCCUGGUAGGCUGCCUCACCUCUCCGAAGGUUCUUCAGGUGCUGAGCAUGGCUCCUGCUGUAAUUCCAACCAGCUGUCAUGAGAUGAACAGAUCUUUGCCCUGCAUUCCCCACCGUGAUGUACCAUGCCACCAAAAAGCAACAGAGACAAGAGACCACAGACUGAAGCCCACGAACCUCUGGCAUGUCCCUGAGCACAUCUGGAACUCGCUAUCUAGUCUCCUGCUGGGACUUUCACAGACACUUGGGGUACCUGGGGACCCAGAUAUAUCCUGCUAUCCACCCCUGUCCCUGCCUUACCUGGUGUUUCUGCUGCUCAGAGGCCACACCAUCCCACCACAGCCGGAAGAAUUCUUGCUCCACAGCGAUGAAGCGGCGUUGCCGCCCACGGGUCAGUUCGGCCACCACAGUGGUGUAAACAUUGGCUGCAUAGGACCGCAUGCUUUCCUGAGGAGGCAAACGCCAUCACAGAAACUCCAGAGAGGCUGAGGGCUGUGGUAAGCCCAAAGGACCAAAGAGAAGAUCCAGAGACCAAGUGUCCCGAUUUAUAAUACCCCCAGUGCACCCAGGCCUAAGGGGUAUGGGUAGGGAUCACCACUUUCUCUUUACAGCUGGGGAAACUGAGGCAAUGGAUUGGGGAAAAGCCGUCCUGUCCAAGGUUCUGAACAGAAAGACCCACGAGGUUGCAAGCCCAACCCCAAGCUUCUCAGGGCUGGGUGGUGGUGUGCAGAGGAAGCUGAACUGGCUAGCCCCUGUGUCAGCACCACAGAGGGCCAGCCCACUUCCCAGGAGUCAGCUGACAUUCACCUGCUUGGAAGCCAGCCGCACCUUAUGCUACUACUCCAGGCUUACUCCCGAAGACUGGUCACCUGUCAACCCACACUUUGGGGACACACUCUCCUGCCCUGACUUUUGUAGGGGCCAUCCAGUAAGAUGUGACUCCGAGGCAGGAAGUGACCAGCCCAGGGCUGCGGCUCAGACAGCAGGGUCCCAGGGUGGAGGCUGGAGCCCAGGCCACCUCCCGCUUCCCGGCUGGGCCGGGCGCACCCCGCAGAAGGCAGCUAGUGUGCAAGGGUCUCAGGAACGCCCGCCACUUACCUGGACAGUGUAGACCCAGCCCACGUCCAUAUGGCUGUGGGGCACCACGAAGGCCUGGAUGGGGCCGGCCGACCGGGCCGCCGGCGGCCGCAGCAGCAGCAGCAGCUGGCCGAGCAGCGGCAGCCAGCGCAGCGGCCCCAUGGCUUGGCGGGCUGGACGCUGCCCCGGCGGCGGGUCCCGGGCGGAGCGGCCCACUUCCGGGUCCGUGGACCGCGGCGCCCCCUGUCGGCGGGAGCGCGCGAGCGCAGCGAGCCGACGGGUGGAGCCCGAGCUUGUCCCGGUGCGGCGCCCCCUGUCGGCUGGAGUGCACGAUGCACCUCUCGUCUCCAGCUGGUGGCCUUACAGCCCAAGGCUGGUGCCCCAAGCCUUGGAGACUGCUUUUGUCUCCAGGAAGCCUUCCAGGACAACAAUCGCCUGCUUGCAGACCUCUAGCCUCAGGGUGGCUUGAUUUGGAACUCCUGAGUCCAUUCUA